rnacentral:rRNA from 1 species
ACGCUCGACACCUACAGGAGGCAGCAGUGGGGAAUAUUGCACAAUGGGGGAAACCCUGAUGCAGCAACGCCGCGUGAAGGAAGACGGUUUUCGGAUUGUAAACUUCUGUUCUUAGUGAAGAUAGUGACGGUAGCUAAGGAGCAAGCCACGGCUAACUACGUGCAAGCAGCCGCGGUAAUCUGAGCGGGCUGGCAAGGC